ensembl:snoRNA
GCACCACCUUGGAACCUCUGCAGUGCCUGCCCCGUGGCUUCAGGGCUCCAGUAGCCAUGCCAGGGCAGACCCAGCUUGUUCUGAUCCGGGGCUGCUUAGAUGCCACCUGAGCGAUUCCUUUGGCAGCAAGUGACAUUC